rnacentral:lncRNA from 1 species
UGUAUGUAUGUAUGUAUGUCUGUGUGUGUGUGUGUGUGUCAGUAUGUCUGCCAGGAUAUAUUUGUAUGUCAGCGUAUGUGUGUGUCAGUAUAUAUCUGUGAAUGUUUAAUGUCUGUCUGUAUCAGCCAUUACGUCUGUCUGUGUAUAUGUCAGUAUGCCUGUGUGUGUGUGUGUAUAUAUGUCAGUAUGCCUGUGUGUGUGUGUCAAUGUGUCUGUCAGUGUAUGUGUCUGUGUGUUUUAGUAUAUCUGUCAGUGUAUGUGUUUGUUUGUGUGUGUGUCAGUAUAU